rnacentral:rRNA from 1 species
UACGAAGGGGGCUAGCGUUGCUCGGAAUUACUGGGCGUAAAGGGCGCGUAGGCGGACAGUUUAGUCAGAGGUGAAAGCCCAGGGCUCAACCUUGGAAUUGCCUUUGAUACUGGCUGUCUUGAGUUCGGGAGAGGUGAGUGGAAUGCCGAGUGUAGAGGUGAAAUGCGUAGAUAUCCGAAGGAACAUCAGUGGCGAAAGCGACUUCCUGGACCAGAACUGACGAUCAGGCACGAAAGCGUGGGGAGCAAACAGG